rnacentral:rRNA from 1 species
UACGGAGGAUCCGAGCGUUAUCCGGAUUUAUUGGGUUUAAAGGGUGCGCAGGCGGCCAUUUAAGUCAGCGGUUAAAUCGUGGGGCUCAACCCCAUUCUGCCGUUGAUACUGGGUGGCUUGAUUGCGGUCGAGGUUGGCGGAAUUCGUUGUGUAGCGGUGAAAUGCAUAGAUAUGACGAAGAACACCGAUUGCGUAGGCAGCUGACCAGACCGCAAAUGACGCUCAUGCACGAAAGUGCGGGGAUCGAACAGGAUUAGAUACCCUGGUAGUCCGCACAGUAAACGAUGAAUACUUGUUUUCGGCGAUAUAAUGUCGGAGGCAAAGCGAAAGCGAUAAGUACUCCACCUGGGGAGUACGCCGGCAACGGUGAAACUCAAAUGAAUUGACGGGG